AAUGAACGCUGGCGGCAGGCCUAACACAUGCAAGUCGAACGGAUCCUUCGGGAUUAGUGGCGGACGGGUGAGUAACGCGUGGGAACAUACCCUUUGGUACGGAAUAGCCUCGGGAAACUGGGAGUAAUACCGUAUGUGGUCGAGAGACGAAAGAUUUAUCGCCAAAGGAUUGGCCCGCGUUGGAUUAGGUAGUUGGUGGGGUAAUGGCCUACCAAGCCGACGAUCCAUAGCUGGUUUGAGAGGAUGAUCAGCCACACUGGGACUGAGACACGGCCCAGGCGCCCACGGGAGGCAGCAGUGGGGAAUAUUAGAAAAUGGGGGAAACCCUGAUCUAGCCAUGCCGCGUGAUCGAUGAAGGCCUUAGGGUUGUAAAGAUCUUUCAGGUGGGAAGAUAAUGACUGUACCACCAGAAGAAGCCCCGGCUAACUCCGUGCCAGCAGCCGCCGUAA
rnacentral:rRNA from 1 species